rnacentral:rRNA from 1 species
CCGGACCGGCGCACGGGUGAGUAACACGUAUGCGACCUGCCCGUAGCAGGGGGAUAAGCGGAAGAAAUUCCGUCUAAUACCGCGUAAUAUCUUUCGGGGGCAUUCCUGAGGGAUUAAAGGAAGCGAUUCCGGCUACGGAUGGGCAUGCGGCGCAUUAGCUAGUCGGCGGGGUAACGGCCCACCGAGGCGACGAUGCGUAGGGGUUCUGAGAGGAAGGUCCCCCACACUGGUACUGAGACACGGACCAGACUCCUACGGGAGGCAGCAG